CACGUAGGGCGCAAGCGUUGUCCGGAAUUAUUGGGCGUAAAGAGCUCGUAGGCGGUCUGUUGCGUCCGCUGUGAAAACUCGGGGCUCAACCCCGAGCCUGCAAUCGAUACGGGCAGACUAGAGUGCUGUAGGGGAGACUGGAAUUCCUGGUGUAGCGGUGAAAUGCGCAGAUAUCAGGAAGAACACCCGUGGCGAAGGCGGCUCUCUGGUACGUGACUGACGCUGAGACGCGAAAGCGUGGGGAGCGAACAGG
rnacentral:rRNA from 1 species